AUUGAACGCUGGCUGCAGGCCUAACACAUGCAAGUCGAACGAGUGGCGGACGGGUGAGUAAUGUCUGGGAAACUGCCUGAUUGCAGGGGAUAACUACUGGAAACGGUAGCUAAUACCGCAUACCAUCGGAUGUUCGCAGAUGGGCUUGGGUAGUAUGUGGGGUAACGGCUCACCUAGGCGACGAUCCCUAGCUGGUCUGAGAGGAUGACCAGCAACUCAGGAACUGAGACACGGUCCAGACUCCUACGGGAGGCAGCAGUGGGGAAUAUUGCACAAUGGGUGCAAGCCUGAUGCAGCCAUGCCGCGUGUAUGAAGAAGGCCUUCGGUUUGUAAAGUACUUUUAGCGGGGAGGCGUGACCCGCAGAAGAAGCACCGGUUAACGCCGUGCCAGCCGCCGCGGUAAUC
rnacentral:rRNA from 1 species